rnacentral:tRNA from 1 species
GCGGAAGUGAUGGAACGGUAGACAUGAUAGACUCAAAAUCUAUUGCUCGAAAGAGUGUGAGGGUUCAAAUCCCUCCUUCCGCACCA